rnacentral:rRNA from 1 species
GAUGAACGCUAGCGGCAGGCCUAACACAUGCAAGUCGAGGGGUAGAAGGAGCUUGCUCCUUUGAGACCGGCGCACGGGUGCGUAACGCGUAUGCAAUCUACCUUGUACAGGGGAAUAGCCCAGAGAAAUUUGGAUUAAUGCCCCAUAGUAUAUAACCUUCGCAUGUUGGUUAUAUUAAAGUUCCAACGGUACAAGAUGAGCAUGCGUCCCAUUAGUUAGUUGGUAAGGUAACGGCUUACCAAGACGAUGAUGGGUAGGGGUCCUGAGAGGGAGAUCCCCCAGACUGGUACUGAGACACGGACCAGACUCCUACGGGAGGCAGCAGUGCGGAAGAUUGGUCAAUGGUCGCAAGACUGAACCAGCCAUGCCGCGUGCAGGAAGACGGUCCUAUGGAUUGUAAACUGCUUUUAUACAGGAAGAAACCCUCCCACGUGUGGGAGCUUGACGGUACUGUAGGAAUAAGGAUCGGCUAACUCCGUG